rnacentral:rRNA from 1 species
AUCAGCCUUUCGGGUGUGAUUAUGUGGAGCGUGAGGAGUUAAACGCCGUCAUGCCUGCAUAUUCGUGCACUUUGGGUGUACUUGCCCGUGUGGUUGGUUAACAUCAAUUUUGGUUAUCAUAAAAUGACUGGAGGAAUGUAGCUUCGACCUCGUAUUGAAGUGUUAUAGCCUUCGGUAGAUGUGAUGAUCGAGAUUGAGGAUUGCAACGGAUACCCUUCGGGGCUACCUGUCUGGUCUCUGAUCGUUGCUCUGGUGCCGAAAGCUUGCUUACGGUUAUCAAAGUCGAUGGUCAAUAGGUUAGAACGGGUUAAAUUCGUUAAGGAUGUUGACGUAAUGGCUUU